GUCCUUAGUCCCUUCCCUCCACCGAGGUUGCUUCUGCUUUUCUCCAGAGGAGUGGAAGCUACCACUUUUCCUUGGGGGUUCCUUCGGGCCCUGUCGCUUGCCCUCCUUCUUGCUCCCCGACUCCUCCACCCUUGGCCUGCCCUCCUUCCACCUUCCUGCUGGCUCCCUGUCCUCCUGACCUCCCCAGUUCUUCUUCCUUUCCCGGCCAGAUUCUUCCUUCUUAUGUUUCCAGUGCUCAGCCUUCCGGUCUCUCUGCCCAUCCCACCACUUUUCCUUUCCACUCCACUCCCU
rnacentral:lncRNA from 1 species